GUGAAACCGAGUGAGGCGGGUCCUCACAGCACUGGCAGCCCUACUUCCCACCCUUUAUUCGCGAAUUUGACAAAUACUGGAAAAGUCGACUGCAAGCCGUUGAGUCUAGCCGUAGCUGGAGUAGUCAGGCCUUGCAUUCAUAAUCAGAUGUCGCCGAAGAAACGCGAACUUUCAGGCGCCAUUUUAAAGCGGAAGGCUCCGAUAGUUAAAGUAGAGAAGAAAGAAAAACAGCAGAAGACGUCGAAGUCAAAAACAUCUUCGAUCGCGAAAGCCAAACUUUCAGGUGCUAUUGUGAAAUACAAGGCUCAACGACAACAGUUUGAAAAUAAAAAUCAAACGCAUCAGGGUGGGGGAGGAAGGACUGGCUCCAAUUAAAUGGUGAAAAUCCGAUUCCGAUCAGGCGAUGACGAAAGUGUGAAUCACGAAAUACCAGUGUGUACUACACAAUUUGUGGAAAAUUCCUGGAAGUGUAUGCGGAAUCUUUAAAAAAAACCAACACCCCGGCACUAAUUAGCGACACUGAUCCGCCUGCUGUAUAAAAGACGAGGAGCACGCUGAUAUAGUGUUCACGUGCCAUCGUCUUCUGGUUCUUAGAGUUCAUCACUUGGUUUCUGCGCGUCACUGCAGGUGUACAAUUCGUAGCAACGAAAGCAAGGAGACAGACUCAAGAGACAAAUACAAUGGCAUCGAGACUGGUGGACUUCUAUCAUUACACUGACGAAAGCAGUGCACAGGAAAUUCAGAGAACUGGACAUAUUUGGCCCAGUCAAGCAAGCGGACCUGAUGCAGUGCUUGGAACUGGUGUGUAUGGGACAAAGGUGCCACCUCAUGCAGGUAAAGGGCAGAUUGCCCGCAACAACUGGGAUGGCACUGGCAACUGGCACGCCAGGCGAGCUGGAGGAAGUGUGGACUAUGUCUUCCAUCUCCGCAUUCCCCUGAAUAACUUGCGAGAAGUCAAGACGCACAACGGCCGCCAAAUGUAUUUGCACAGGAAUCCAAUAAGACUAGCAGAUUAUGACUACAAUAUUAUUGAAGUUCCAUAGUGAAAAGCGCAACUUUUGCCAGAACUAUGUGGCUUUAACUUAACUUUUCUUAAAACAGCGUCUUGACUCAUCUUUAUACUUGCUAAACCAUUUUUUUGCCUGCAUUCAUGGGAAGAGAAUCCAGUUGUUUUCUUAACUUUUGCUUCAAAGUUUAUUAUAUAGGUUUUUUUAAAAUUGUGUGCAAAUGUUUCAUUUCCUCCCCCCCCCCAAUUGUCUCAUGUGAGACUUUUUUUUUUAAUUUGACGUCUUCGAUCUUUCGUUAGUUGGCAUUUGCUGACCACUUUGGUUAGAAUUUGGUUAAAUUUGAUUAAAUAAAAUUAUUACUUUGA
rnacentral:misc_RNA from 1 species